CCCAAUAUGACUACAGCGUAUCACGUGACAAAAAUAUUAAUGAAUUACGUGCAGUUACAUAUAUCACAUAACUGCAUGAAAUCAACAAGGGUUACAUGCGUAGUGGCAACAAAUUGUUAAAAUGUACAGGUAAAUUCAGCAUUCUAACAUCAAGAAAUCACCCAUUGGAGCAUCAGGCAAGACAAGUGUUCUUUGUUUGUCUGGGAUGAUACCAGAUGCGCUGUGUGUGAAAAAAAAAAUGAGAGAUAGAGAGAGAAUAUUGCACCCAAUUGUUAAAAAAAAAUUUUCCAUUUUUAAUUUUUACACAUCUGCAUAUGAAUUAUUCAUCUGGAAUUAAAAGAACACUAUGGAUUACUUUAUGAUGCAAAGAAAGUAUUUUUUUCGACUCAAGGUUAAUAUUUCUGCCUCUGAGCGUUUACUAUAGCAGAUCUCGGCUUAAUUGGUCAUUUAUAGCUAUACUGCUCUGAUAGAUGUGAGUAUUAUAGUAAAUAAAAGAUGUGGCUUCUUUGUACCUUACACAGUUUAUUAUUACAUUAAUAGUGACUGCCAUGACAAUGAGCCGUGGGACUUUACUGUGUCAAGGGGAAUAUGUCUUGAGAAUUAAGAUCACUUAAACAUGAAAACAAUACAGUUGAAUGUUAAGAUUAAUUUCACGUUCAAAGGACAAGCUAAAAUACAAGUGUAUUACAAUAUAUACGUGUCCCCUAUAUUGCUCAUACUUUAAUACGUACGUACAUCGAUGUCCAACACUUUUACUUAUAUACUCUUUCAUAUGUACACAUACAUCCACAUAGACAUGCCCCCUCCUACAUACACACACAUUGAUUUAUACAUGCAUCCUUACACUCAUAAAUACACCGUAUUAUGAUAUGUUCAUGCAUGGCAAAUUAGGUUUAGCCGAUCCUUUAAAAAAAAUUAAAAAAAAGAAAUUUAGGUUGGGACUUCCAAAGCUCAUUCAUUUGACGGUUCGGCUCAUCUGAAUGUCAUCCAUGAAAUACAUUUGGGAAACUAAUUUGAAUGAACAAAAUUGGGCUCAAAAAUGGGUCAAUCAGUGUACUGCAAAAUAUAUACACAGUAUAAAUAUUAAGCGCAUAUUUUGCAGUACACUGUUGUAUUUUCCUGCCAUUUGGUUCACAGAAGUGAGAAGCUAAUAGAGGCUAAAAGGAGGCACAGAUAAAU